rnacentral:rRNA from 1 species
AGUGCAAUGGCAUAAGCCAGCUUGACUGCGAGCGUGACGGCGCGAGCAGGUGCGAAAGCAGGUCAUAGUGAUCCGGUGGUUCUGAAUGGAAGGGCCAUCGCUCAACGGAUAAAAGGUACUCCGGGGAUAACAGGCUGAUACCGCCCAAGAGUUCAUAUCGACGGCGGUGUUUGGCACCUCGAUGUCGGCUCAUCACAUCCUGGGGCUGAAGUAGGUCCCAAGGGUAUGGCUGUUCGCCAUUUAAAGUGGUACGCGAGCUGGGUUUAGAACGUCGUGAGACAGUUCGGUCCCUAUCUGCCGUGGGCGCUGGAGAACUGAGGGGGGCUGCUCCUAGUACGAGAGGACCGGAGUGGACGCAUCACUGGUGUUCGGGUUGUCAUGCCAAUGGCACUGCCCGGUAGCUAAAUGCGGAAGAGAUAAGUGCUGAAAGCAUCUAAGCACGAAACUUGCCCCGAGAUGAGUUCUCCCUGAGACUUAGAGUCUCCUGAAGGAACGUUGAAGACGACGACGUUGAUAGGCCGGGUGUGUAAGCGCAGCGAUGCGUUGAGCUAACCGGUACUAAUGAACCGUGAGGCUUAACCUUACAA